GCGCCUGUAGCUCAAUGGAUAGAGCACUACUUUGCGGAAGUAGUGGUUGUGAGUUCGAAUCUCACCAGGCGCACCA
rnacentral:tRNA from 1 species